rnacentral:SRP_RNA from 1 species
CCGGACAGCCGGGGAGCUAGGGGUGCCCUGUAAGCCAAAUCCCCUUUAGGGCUGGCGGCAACCUUGCCAGGCCGAGUGGGCCAAGCCCGAACGGUGCUACGCCGACGACGCUUUGACCCGCGUUACUCGUGCUGGAGCGAACCGAGCCAGGCCGGAAGGAGCAACUCUAAGCUGCAGGACGGGUGCUCGCGGGACCCAAGGCUGAGAAACGGGUGCUGCUGAAGGCGAAACCCAAUCGUUCGACCAAGGACGCCGG